rnacentral:piRNA from 2 species
CCCCACAUCAAGGUGAGAAAGUAAGGCUGU